AAGUAAAAAUGUCACAACCCGUCCCGGGAUUUCUUAUAUCAGGGACGUGAAAUGACGAAAUCACCCUUGACGGGUAUUAAGGUAUGUGUGUGUGUGACAUUAUUUAGACUCAAAUUUCAUAAACUUUGGAAAUAACUUAUGUGGGGUAUAAUUUUUGUGGUUAAGGAAUUAGGAAAAGAAAUGGAUGGUGAGGAUUUGUGAUGGAACACACACACACACACUUCCUUCUCUCUCUCCCUCCCCUAUGUCUCUCUCUCCUCCCUCACAGCUUUCUCUCUCUCUCCCUCUCGAAGUGUACGAACAAGGGCCAACACCCUCGAAUCUUCACGGAUCGAAGUCAAUAAGGGAAUUUCAAGCUCACAGUGAGCUUAAGGAGAUCCUCACGAGCUUCGGGAUACUUCGUUGGUAGAAUUUGGACGUCGGAGGACGGAGAACGAAGCCUUUCAAAUUUGGCCGGAUUAUCGAACUUCCUCAGUUCUUUCGCAUAUAGGUGACACCUAUCCCGAGGACGAGCGCAUCCAAGGACGUCACGGGGGUUACGACCCAUCGACUUACCAAUUCUAGCUAGCAGUUGGCGGCUCACGAGGUUCUUUUCGGCAUUCUGAUAGACACCCUGCAUGUAGGACUCACCUGCAGGUGUUAUAAUUUAACUAUAGUCCUACUUGACUGCACCUAGUACCUUCGCUCUGAAUUGUGCGUUUACUUUAUAACUCGCUCUAGUAUGCUAGUUGAAUAUUUCUGUUAGUAGUUGGUUUUUAUUUCUUUGUAUGUCUUAAUUCCUUUGCUUCCGUAUCGCACUUAUGGUUACGUCACGCUCACGUGGCGGCCAGCACGCCCUGAUUUCAUGAUUGGGGUGUGUCAAAAAAAACAUAGAGUAUUUUAAGAGUGAGUCCAGUUAUUUAAUUA